ACUCCUACGGGAGGCAGCAGUUGGAAUAUUGCACAAUGGGGGAAACCCUGAUGCAGCAAUCCCGCGUGAGGGACGAAGGCCUUCGGGUCGUAAACCUCUUUCAGCAGGGAAGAAAAAAUGACGGUACCUGCAGAAGAAGCACCGGCUAACUCCGUGCCAGCAGCCGCGGUAAUACGGAGGGUGCAAGCGUUGUUCGGAAUCAUUGGGCGUAAAGCGCGUGUAGGCGGCCUGUUAAGUCUGAUGUGAAAGCCCGGGCUUAACCCGGAGUGCAUUGGAUACUGGCAGCUAGAGGGCGAGAGAGGAUGUGGAAUCCUGGUGUAGGGGUGAAAUCCGUAGAUAUCAGGAGGAACACCGGAGGCGAAGGCGGCCAUCUGGCUCGCAUCUGACGCUGAGACGCGAAAGCGUGGGGAGC
rnacentral:rRNA from 1 species